CAUUUGUUCCCUAAAUAGGGACUUGUAUGAACGGCCACACGAGGGCUUUACUGUCUCUUACUUCCAAUCCGUGAAAUUGACCUUCCCGUGAAGAGGCGGGAAUAUAAUAAUAAGACGAGAAGACCCUAUGGAGCUUUAAUUAACCGACCCAAAGAGACCAUAUGAACCAACCGACAGGAACAACAAACCUCUAUAUGGGCCGGCAAUUUAGGUUGGGGUGACCUCGGAGAAUAAAACAACCUCCGAGUGAUUUAAAUCUAGACUAACCAGUCGAAAGUACUACAUCACUUAUUGAUCCAAAAACCUUGAUCAACGGAACAAGUUACCCUAGGGAUAACAGCGCAAUCCUAUUUCAGAGUCCAUAUCGACAAUAGGGUUUACGACCUCGAUGUUGGAUCAGGACAUCCCGAUGGUGCAGCAGCUAUCAAAGGUUCGUUUGUUCAACGAUUAAAGUCCU
rnacentral:rRNA from 1 species